rnacentral:pre_miRNA from 1 species
AAUGUGAUAGUUGGGUCAUAUAGUGAUUUUAUUCCUAGUCUUUUGAGGAAUCUCCAUACUGCUUUCCAAAUUGGUUGUCUAAUUUUGCAGUCCUACUAACUAU